GAUGAACGCUGGCGGCGUGCCUAAUACAUGCAAGUCGAGCGAACGGACGAGAAGCUUGCUUCUCUGAUGUUAGCGGCGGACGGGUGAGUAACACGUGGAUAACCUACCUAUAAGACUGGGAUAACUUCGGGAAACCGGAGCUAAUACCGGAUAAUAUUUUGAACCGCAUGGUUCAAAAGUGAAAGCCGGUCUUGCUGUCACUUAUAGAUGGAUCCGCGCUGCAUUAGCUAGUUGGUACGGUAACGGCUUACCAAGGCAACGAUGCAUAGCCGACCUGAGAGGGUGAUCGGCCACACUGGAACUGAGACACGGUCCAGACUCCUACGGGAGGCAGCAGUAGGGAAUCGUCCGCAAUGGGCGAAAGCCUGACGGAGCAACGCCGCGUGAGUGAUGAAGGUCUUCGGAGCGGAAAACCCUGUUAGUAGGGAAGAACAUAUGUGUAAGUAACUGUGCACAUCUUGACGGUACCUAAUCAGAAAGCCACGGCUAACUACGUG
rnacentral:rRNA from 1 species